GCUAAUACCGCAUAAAAGUUGAAAACCAAAGUGGGGGACCUUUUAUAGGCCUCAUGCUUUGGAUGAACCCAGACGAGAUUAGCUUGUUGGUAAGGUAAAAGCUUACCAAGGCAACGAUCUCUAGCUGGUCUGAGAAGAUAACCAGCCACACUGGAACUGAGACACGGUCCAG
rnacentral:rRNA from 1 species